AUUAUAAAUUUGUUGGGACUAGUUUUAAAAUAAAAUUUUUUCAGGGCCAUUUGCAAAAAAAUGCCCUAAAAAUUAGGCUCAGUGCGUAAGGCGUAUGGAUACACCUGGUGCAGGGAAUAAUUUUUCAGCAAAUCUAUUUGGACGGCUCAGAUCACUUUACAUAAACCCAUAACUCUGCAUCGAGAAGCCCUUUUAAACCCUAACCUUCGUCGCCUCUUUCUCUCUUCCUCUCCCCCUUCUCCGCUUUCUAAAAACCUAAUCCCCGCCUCCUCCCUCUACCUCCCUCUCUCUCUCUCUCUCUCUCUCUCUCUCUCUCUCUCCCCC
rnacentral:lncRNA from 1 species